rnacentral:rRNA from 1 species
UACGUAGGGUGCGAGCGUUAAUCGGAAUUACUGGGCGUAAAGCGUGCGCAGGCGGUUUUGUAAGACAGAUGUGAAAUCCCCGGGCCCAACCUGGGAACUGCAUUUGUGACUGCAUCGCUGGAGUGCGGCAGAGGGGGAUGGAAUUCCGCGUGUAGCAGUGAAAUGCGUAGAUAUGCGGAGGAACACCGAUGGCGAAGGCAAUCCCCUGGGCCUGCACUGACGCUCAUGCACGAAAGCGUGGGGAGCAAACAGG